AACGAACGCUGGCGGCAUGCCUAACACAUGCAAGUCGAACGAUACCUUCCGGUCUUGUGGCGCACGGUUGCGUACCGCGUGGUAAUCUGCCCUUAGGUUCCUAAUAACUCCCCGAAAGUGGUCCUAAUACCGGAUAAUCUCUUCGGACCUAAGAGUUAUCGCCUUUGGAUGGGCCCGCGUUUGAUUAGCUAGUUGGUAGGGUAAAAGCAUACCAAGGCGACGAUACAUAGCUGGUCUGAGAGGAUGAUCUGCGACACUGGUACUGAGACACGGCCCAGAAUCGUACGGGAGGGAGGAGAGGGGAAUAUUGGAAAAUGGGGGAAAGGCUGAAAAAGCAAUGGCGGGUGAGUGAUGAAGGACGUAGGGAAGUGAAGUCGUUUUACACGGGAUGAUAAUGACAGUAACGGGAGAAUAAGCACCGGCUAACUCCGUG
rnacentral:rRNA from 1 species